UACGAAGGGGGCUAGCGUUGUUCGGAAUUACUGGGCGUAAAGCGCACGUAGUCGGACUAUUAAGUCAGGGGUGAAAUCCCGGGGCUCAACCCCGGAACUGCCUUUGAUACUGGUAGUCUCGAGUCCGGAAGAGGUGAGUGGAAUUCCGAGUGUAGAGGUGAAAUUCGUAGAUAUUCGGAGGAACACCAGUGGCGAAAGCGGCCACCUGGACUGCACCUGACGCUGACACGCGAAAGCUAGGGGAGCGAACGGG
rnacentral:rRNA from 1 species